GCCCAGCAUCCACGCAACAGGCCAGGCAACAAGAGACGGACCUCAUCACCCAGCCAUCAGAGAAAGGCCUGUCCCCCCUCUGCCUGGACUGCUGGGCCACACGACCACCCAGCACACCUGUUUGGCGUAGCAAUGAAAUCUGCCUAGGUCUAGCUGAGAUGGGCUCUGAAGCUGAAAGUGGGGUCAACUCCACAACAACUUCAUGGAUACUUCUGUCCUGUGGAAGAAAAGCGGUGGCUCCUACACAUGUACAACAGCAGAAAAUUCAUGGAUGUCCACUGAUGCUAAUUGCAAGUGAACCACAAUACCAGAAGAAAUACCCAGU
rnacentral:lncRNA from 1 species